GAAGCUGCUACGCUGGUGUGAGCGACAAGGCAUCCUCAGAAAGGAGGACGGACCCUCACCACCUCUAUUUUUAUUUUUCACACGACAUCCAUUUUAUCUCUGCAGCCUGUUUCAAAGGCUGCAGGUCACUGGUUGUUGAUACUCACGUUGUUAAAGCCCUACUUCCCAUUCCUGUCCCUCAAAUCUAAAUUAAACCUCCCUAUCAGCACAAUUCACAGCAACAAGAGCUUCGGCUAAAACUCUGCCUGCUGGUUUCUCAAAACAGCUGAGAUAAAGUGGCUACAGAGGUCUAUCUGAGGGGGUACAACGCAGCUCUAGAAACAACUGUCUCAUCAACCUGCUGUUGUGCUGGAAAAAAGUAAUCAUCCUUCUCCAGGAGAGGAAGAGGACAAGUACCACUGCGACUUUCCGACCUGCUUCCAUGUAGCAGGGUUAAACAAGCCCUUGGGACCAGGGACCGAAACCAAGAGCUGCCUGUUCCCAAGGGGAUGGCCUCGCCAGUGUGCAGCCCUGUCCAUCUGCAGAGGAGCGAGAGGUAUUUUCACUCAAAGUGCCCAGAAUGAAGUCCCUUGUCAUGUAUGUCCUUUGGACUGGUCCUGUGCUGGCAGGGCAAGGAAACCUGAACCAUCACUGACUCUUCUAGCUGAGAAGGAUGUCUGUUCUCUUAAGCCCG